rnacentral:misc_RNA from 1 species
CACAAUAAAAUAUGAAGGCUGUACGCGGCUGUGCUCAUCGGGCCAGUUUUGCGGAGGCUGAAUUAUUUAUUACCCUUGUCUUUUGCGCACUUGUUGUUUCCUGGGCGGGUUCGCCCGCCACCAGGACCACAUCAUAAACCUUUUUUACGCAGUUGCAAUCAGCGUCAGUAUAACAAAUGUAAAUCAUUUA